rnacentral:rRNA from 1 species
GAUGAACGCUGGCGGCGUGCCUAAUACAUGCCAGUAGAACGCUGAAGGAGGAGCUUGCUCUUCUGGAUGAGUUGCGAACGGGUGAGUAACGCGUAGGUAAUCUGCCUGGUAGCGGGGGAUAACUAUUGGAAACGAUAGCUAAUACCGCAUGACAACAGUUAUUGCAUGAUAACUGUUUAAAAGGGGCAACUGCUCCACUACCAGAUGGACCUGCGUUGUAUUAGCUAGUUGGUGAGGUAACGGCUCACCAAGGCGACGAUACAUAGCCGACCUGAGAGGGUGAUCGGCCACACUGGGACUGAGACACGGCCCAGACUCCUACGGGAGGCAGCAGUAGGGAAUCUUCGGCAAUGGACGGAAGUCUGACCGAGCAACGCCGCGUGAGUGAAGAAGGUUGUCGGAUCGGAAAGCUCUGUUGUAAGAGAAGAACGAAUGUGAGAGUGGAAAGUUCACACUGUGACGGUAUCUUACCAGAAAGGGACGGCUAACUACGUG